AUGAACGCUGGCGGCGUGCCUAAUACAUGCAAGUCGAGCGAACAGACGAGGAGCUUGCUCCUCUGACGUUAGCGGCGGACGGGUGAGUAACACGUGGAUAACCUACCUAUAAGACUGGGAUAACUUCGGGAACCGGAGCUAAUACCGGAUAAUAUAUUGAACCGCAUGGUUCAAUAGUGAAAGACGGCUUUGCUGUCACUUAUAGAUGGAUCCGCGCCGCAUUAGCUAGUUGGUAAGGUAACGGCUUACCAAGGCAACGAUGCGUAGCCGACCUGAGAGGGUGAUCGGCCACACUGGAACUGAGACACGGUCCAGACUCCUACGGGAGGCAGCAGUAGGGACUCUUCCGCAAUGGGCGAAAGCCUGACGGAGCAACGCCGCGUGAGUGAUGAAGGUCUUCGGAUCGUAAAACUCUGUUAUUAGGGAAGAACAAAUGUGUAAGUAACUAUGCACGUCUUGACGGUACCUAAUCAGAAAGCCACGGCUAACUACGUG
rnacentral:rRNA from 1 species